GUUUAAAUCACAUGUUCUAAAAUAGAGCUAAGAAUUGUUCGUAUUGUAUUAAAUUUUAGUCUUUGAAAUUUUAUUCAAAUACGCUAUUGAACAUUACUAAGAGCCAAUAAAUACAAUAAUUUUGUAUUUUAUAAAUUAGUGCCUUCAAUAAAUAAAAGCCGUCAUAGAACAGUCUCAUUUUCAUACCGAUAUUCGAAAUGACUCGUUUCAUUGCUAUUACAACAAAUAUGUCAUAAUAACAUGACAGAGAGUUUUGUUUCGGAAUAUUCUAGAUAAAUAUAAAAAGCAAAUUUUAGACAUUGUACCCUCCUAAGCCUGGACGUGGCUAGUCACAUAUAGUUAACGGCGUUUUUCUCACAAUGACGUUCUACCUCCAUAAGCCUGGAUAUGUCGUGGCUAGUCACAUAUGAUGUAUUAUAU
rnacentral:lncRNA from 1 species